AGAUAGUGAUAUUCGCUAUCUAUGUGUGCAGAGAGGGAAAUUGUGGCCCUGGACUGGGUGUUCAGAGAGGGAAAUUUUGGCCCAGGGCCACAAUUUCCCUCUCUGCACACAUAGAUAGCGAAUAUCGAA